rnacentral:rRNA from 1 species
CCCAGACUCCUACGGGAGGCAGCAGUGGGGAAUAUUGGGCAAUGGACGCAAGUCUGACCCAGCAACGCCGCGUGAAGGAAGAAGGCUUUCGGGUUGUAAACUUCUUUUAAGGGGGAAGAGCAGAAGACGGUACCCCUUGAAUAAGCCACGGCUAACUACGUGCCAGCAGCCGCGGUAAUACGUAGGUGGCAAGCGUUGUCCGGAUUUACUGGGUGUAAAGGGCGUGCAGCCGGAGAGACAAGUCAGAUGUGAAAUCCACGGGCUCAACCCGUGAACUGCAUUUGAAACUGUUUCCCUUGAGUGUCGGAGAGGUAAUCGGAAUUCCUUGUGUAGCGGUGAAAUGCGUAGAUAUCUGGAGGAACAUCAGUGGCGAAGGCGACUAUCUGGCACAUAACUGACGCUGAGGAGCGAAAGCGUGGGUAGCAAACAGGAUUAGAUACCCCAGUA